rnacentral:lncRNA from 1 species
CUUUAGAAAUCCUAAAGACUGGACUUAAGAGUUUGGACUUCAGUGAAAAGGAAGCAUUGCAGUGACCUUGCAGAGAGCAUUCUAAUUUUCCAGAAAUCCAGACAGAGUAAUUUAAACCUUAGGAGUUUGAGAGUGAAUUGCAUUGCCAUCAUGUGGAUGCAUGGAAGCUAACGUCUAGUCAGAAAAAUUCUGGAACCCUUUUCUAUUAGUUAGAAAUAAAAACAAAUUCAUAAUAGUUAUGAAAUUUGUUAAGUCAGAAUGCUUAUCAAAAUGUGGAAUGAAAUGAUAAUAAUUUAACUAUAGUACUGUCCAAGUAAACGCUGAAGUUAGUUUGACCCAAAUAAUAUGGGUUAUUAGUAUGAAUUAGAGUCCAACAUGUACAUUAAUGUCACUACUUAAUGACAUCUGGGGCUUACAGAAUCAGGUGUUAGGUGUUAGAAAAAUUAAGUAAUUAGAAAAUGAAUAUGCAAAAUAGCUAAAAUGGUAUGGGAUCAACAUGAUUCUUUUAUGUUUUCUUUAGGGUGGUAUUUCCAGACAUGGAACUGCAUGAAGGGGUGUUAGGGAAAAUCCUAUCUUCUCUCUUUGAACAAUUAAAGCUGUUAAAACGAGUUUAAGUUUCUUUUCUACUUAUGUAAAUGUGAUUUGAUGCAGCAAUUGCAGUACCAGAAGCAAACUGGCAAAAUUAAUGAGUGUUUGUUAGGCUCUGUGUAAUCUUAAAUUCAUCUAAGUCAAGAAUGAGUACUUGAGAUAGGAUAGGUUUGCAAAUACUCAUGGUGCAAAGAUCUAAACAGAUGUGAAAAUGUAAUCGUGCCUGUCUGUGCUCUUUUAGGACAGCUGCAGGCUGGGUGCUGUGUGCCUCCAGCUUUUUGGAGGACACAUGCCUGAGUUUUCUGAUUGGGAUCUUCUACUAUAUGCCUCUAGCCUCUGAUGUUUCUCCAUGGGUGGUUGCACGGUCUUAACAUGGUACAACACAGUUUGCAGUGGUUUAAGCAACUGUCCUCCUAGAAUUUAUAGUUCUUGUCUGUUAAGACUGGGACAAGUAAGAGACUGAUGGUGGAUCACUGGGACAUCGGGUAAGAUUUCUGCUAUUGCCACUUUUCUCUGUAGUACCCACAAUGGCA